rnacentral:rRNA from 1 species
UACAGAGGGUGCAAGCGUUGUUCGGAAUUAUUGGGCGUAAAGCGCGUGUAGGCGGCUUUGCAAGUCGGGUGUGAAAGCCCUCAGCUCAACUGAGGAAGUGCGCCCGAAACUGCAGAGCUUGAGUACCGGAGAGGAUGGUGGAAUUCCCCAAGUAGAGGUGAAAUUCGUAGAUAUGGGGAGGAACACCGGUGGCGAAGGCGACCAUCUGGACGGAUACUGACGCUGAGACGCGAAAGCGUGGGUAGCAAACAGGG